AGGCAUUGUUGCGGCAGGUAUUUAUUCACGAUAAAAAUCUUCCAGGUUUACAAAGCAGCAGUGCAGCACAGUCUCAACCUGUGAGAAAAAAAAAUGACCUAAUAACAUGAACACGUGCACAGACAAAACCCGAAAGCCUUUGACAUCAACAUGUUUACGGUGGGUGACAUGGGGGAUGUGAUAACAGGGGAGACUAUUUUUCUUUGUGCACAGUAUUUUUGAAAUUUUCUGUCAUUAGUGUUGCAUUUAUACAAUGCAGUCCCUAGGUGCAUUUCCUAUGAAAAUUGUUUAGGCUUCUCUUAGGAGCACUGACGUCAGGCACAUCAUAUCUGCUGACUCAUGACCCUCACUGAUGGCAUGUGGGAGGGUUUCCAGGGUGCGGGUGCUGUGCUUAGCAGGUGCCUUGGUAGCUGGGCUCAUCAUACAUGUGCAUGCAUAUGCACACACACACUCAUAUAUGCAUGCACACGCACAUUCACAGGCAUGCCCACACACACUCACACAGAUAUGCACACAUGCACUCACAUGCAU
rnacentral:lncRNA from 1 species